rnacentral:rRNA from 1 species
AGAGUUUGAUCCUGGCUCAGGAUGAACGCUAGCUACAGGCUUAACACAUGCAAGUCGAGGGGAAACGACAUCGAAAGCUUGCUUUUGAUGGGCGUCGACCGGCGCACGGGUGAGUAACGCGUAUCCAACCUUCCGUACACUCAGGGAUAGCCUUUCGAAAGAAAGAUUAAUACCUGAUGGUAUGAUGAAAUUGCAUGAUAGCAUCAUUAAAGAUUUAUCGGUGUACGAUGGGGAUGCGUUCCAUUAGGUAGUAGGCGGGGUAACGGCCACUAGCCUACGAUGGAUAGGGGUUCUGAGAGGAAGGUCCCCCANAUUGGAACUGAGACACGGUCCAAACUCCGUACGGGAGCA